ensembl:snRNA U4 U4 spliceosomal RNA
AGCUUUGCACAAUGGCAGUAUCGUAGCCAAUGAGGUGUAUCCAAGGCGCGAUUAUUGCUAAUUGAAAACUUUUCCUAAUACCCUGCCAUGAUGACUUGAAAUGUAGUUGGCAUUGGCAAUUUUUGACAGUCUCUACAGAGA